ACAGUGGAGAGUUUGAUCCUGGCUCAGGAUGAACGCUGGCUACAGGCUUAACACAUGCAAGUCGAGGGGAAACGGCAUUGAGUGCUUGCACUGAAUGGACGUCGACCGGCGCACGGGUGAGUAACGCGUAUCCAACCUUCCCGUUACUGCGGGAUAACCUGCCGAAAGGCAGACUAAUACCGCAUGUUCUUCGAUGACGGCAUCAGAUUCGAAGCAAAGACUCGUCGGUAACGGAGGGGGAUGCGUCUGAUUAGCUGGUUGGCGGGGCGACGGCCCACCAAGGCGACGAUCAGUAGGGGUUCUGAGAGGAAGGUCCCCCACAUUGGAACUGAGACACGGUCCAAACUCCUACGGGAGGCAGCAGUGAGGAAUAUUGGUCAAUGGGCGGAAGCCUGAACCAGCCAAGUAGCGUGCAGGAGGACGGCCCUACGGGUUGUAAACUGCUUUUAUGCGGGGAUAAAGUGAGGGACGUGUCCCUUUUUGCAGGUACCGCAUGAAUAAGGACCGGCUAAUUCCGUGCCAGCAGCCGCGGUAAUACGGAAGGUCCGGGCGUUAUCCGGAUUUAUUGGGUUUAAAGGGAGCGUAGGCCGGGGAUUAAGUGUGUUGUGAAAUGUAGGCGCCCAACGUCUGACUUGCAGCGCAUACUGGUUCCCUUGAGUACGCGCAACGCCGGCGGAAUUCGUCGUGUAGCGGUGAAAUGCUUAGAUAUGACGAAGAACCCCGAUUGCGAAGGCAGCCGGCGGGAGCGCAACUGACGCUGAAGCUCGAAGGUGCGGGUAUCGAACAGGAUUAGAUACCCUGGUAGUCCGCACGGUAAACGAUGGAUGCCCGCUGUCGGCGCCUUGCGCCGGCGGCCAAGCGAAAGCGUUAAGCAUCCCACCUGGGGAGUACGCCGGCAACGGUGAAACUCAAAGGAAUUGACGGGGGCCCGCACAAGCGGAGGAACAUGUGGUUUAAUUCGAUGAUACGCGAGGAACCUUACCCGGGCUUGAAUUGCAGGAGAACGAAACAGAGAUGUUGAGGUCCUUCGGGAC
rnacentral:rRNA from 1 species